AUUGAACGCUGGCGGCAUGCCUUACACAUGCAAGUCGAACGGCAGCACGGGAGCAAUCCUGGUGGCGAGUGGCGAACGGGUGAGUAAAGUAUCGGAACGUGCCCAGUCGUGGGGGAUAACGUAGCGAAAGUUACGCUAAUACCGCAUACGAUCUAUGGAUGAAAGCGGGGGAUCGCAAGACCUCGCGCGAUUGGAGCGGCCGAUAUCAGAUUAGGUAGUUGGUGGGGUAAAGGCUCACCAAGCCGACGAUCUGUGGCUGGUCUGAGAGGACGACAAGCGAGAGUGGGACGGUGACACGGCGCAGACUCCGACGGGAGGCAGCAGUGGGGAAUUUUGGACAAUGGGCGCAAGCCUGAUCCAGCCAUGCCGCUUGCAGGAUGAAGGCCUUCGGGUUGUAAACUGCUUUUGUACGGAACGAAAAGGUUUGGCUUAAUACGUUGAACUCAUGACGGUACCGUAAGAAUAAGCACCGGCUAACUACGUGCCAGCCGCCGCCGUAACAC
rnacentral:rRNA from 1 species